AUUGAACGCUGGCGGCAUGCCUUACACAUGCAAGUCGAGCGGCAGCGCGGGGGCAACCCUGGCGGCGAGCGGCGAACGGGUGAGUAAUGCAUCGGAACGUGUCCUCUUGUGGGGGAUAACCAGUCGAAAGACUGGCUAAUACCGCAUGAGCUCGAGAGAGGAAAGCAGGGGACCCGCAAGGGCCUUGCGCGAGAGGAGCGGCCGAUGCCGGAUUAGCUAGUUGGCGGGGUAACGGCCCACCAAGGCGACGAUCCGUAGCUGGUCUGAGAGGACGACCAGCCACACUGGGACUGAGACACGGCCCAGACUCCUACGGGAGGCAGCAGUGGGGAAUUUUGGACAAUGGGGGCAACCCUGAUCCAGCCAUGCCGCGUGUGUGAAGAAGGCCUUCGGGUUGUAAAGCACUUUCGGACGGAACGAAAUCGCGCGGGCGAAUAUCCCGCGUGGAUGACGGUACCGUAAGAAGAAGCACCGGCUAACUACGUGC
rnacentral:rRNA from 1 species